UACAGAGGUGGCAAGCGUUGUUCGGAAUUACUGGGCGUAAAGGGCUCGUAGGCGGCCAACUAAGUCAGACGUGAAAUCCCUCGGCUUAACCGGGGAACUGCGUCUGAUACUGGAUGGCUUGGGUUCGGGAGAGGGAUGCGGAAUUCCAGGUGUAGCGGUGAAAUGCGUAGAUAUCUGGAGGAACACCGGUGGCGAAGGCGGCAUCCUGGACCGAUACUGACGCUGAGGAGCGAAAGCCAGGGGAGCAAACGGG
rnacentral:rRNA from 1 species